CCCCCACAAUGGGACUGAAACACGGCCCAUACUCCUACGGGAGGCAGCAGCAGGGAAUAUUGCACAAUAGGCGAAAGCCUGAUGCAGCGACGCCGCGUGAGUGAAGAAGGCCUUCGGGUCGUAAAGCUCUUUUGUAGGGGAAGAGGAAGGACGGUACCCUAAAGAAGAANGCGUCNNGGCUAACUACGUGCCAGCAGCCGCGGGUAAGACGGUAGGACGCGAGCGUUAUCCGGAAUUACUGGGCGUAAAGGGCCAGCAGGCGGCUUGGUAACGUUGUGCGUGAAAGCCUCGUGCUCAACGCGAGGAAGCCGGACAAUACUGGUCCAAGCUAGAGGGCAUCAGAGGGGAGUGGAAUUCCCGGAGUAGCGGUAAAAUGCGCAGAUAUCGGGAGGAACACNCGAUGGCGAAGGCAGCUCCCUGGGAUGCACCUGACGCUAAGAGGCGAAAGCUAGGGGAGCGAACAGGAUUAGAGACCCUGGUAGUCCUAGCUGUAAACGCUGGGUGCUAGGUGUGGGACGUAGAAGUUCCGUGCCGGAGCAAACGCNGAUAAGCACCCCGCCUGGGAAUUACGGUCGCAAGGCUAAAACUCAAACGAAUUGACGGGGCCCCGCACAAGCAGCGGAGCGUGUGGUUCAAUUCGAUGCUACACGAAGAACCCCUUACCUGGGUUUGACAUGUACGUGGUACGAAGGCGAAAGCUAAGGACCUUCGGGGAGCGUACACAGGUGCUGCAUGGCUGUCGUCAGCUCGUGCCGUGAGGUGUCGGGUUAAAGUCCCGUAACGAGCGCAACCCUUGCCCUUAGUUACAAGUGUCUAAGGGGACUGCCGGCGGGAAGCCGGAGGAAGGUGGGGAUGACGUCAAGUCAGCAUGGCCCUUAUGUCCAGGGCUACACACACGCUACAAUGGUCAGUACAAAGGGUAGCGAAGUCGCGAGGCGGAGCGAAUCUCAACAAAGCUGAUCGUAGUUCGGAUUGCAGGCUGCAACCCGCCUGCAUGAAGCUGGAGUUGNUAGUAACCGCGCGUCAGCCAUAGUCGGUGAUACGACCCGGGGCUUGUACACACCGCCCGUCACGUCAUGGGAGUCGUAACGCCUGAGCCGUAGUCUGGCCCGCAAGGGGGACGCUGUCGAAGG
rnacentral:rRNA from 1 species